AAAUGCGAUAAGUAAUGUGAAUUGCAGAAUUCAGUGAAUCAUCGAAUCUUUGAACACACAUUGCGCCCGCCAGCACUCUGGCGGGCAUGCCUGUUCGAGCGUCAUUUCAACCCUCAGAACCCCUUGCGGGAUCUGGCGUUGGGGAUUGGCAUACAGCCAGCCCCGAAAUCUAGUGGCGGUCCCUCCGCGACCUCCCCUGUGCAGUAGCGAUACCUCGCAGCGGGACAGCGGUCUGACCACGCCGUAAAACCCCCAACUUCUCAAGGUUGACCUCGAAUCAGGUAGGAAUACCCGCUGAACUUAAGC
rnacentral:misc_RNA from 1 species